AGGAAAUUAGGUUAACAAGACCAAGAGCCUUCAAAGCUCUAAGUAAAUAUACACAACAUUUAUUUCCUG
ensembl:Mt_tRNA